UACGAAGGGGGCUAGCGUUGUUCGGAAUUACUGGGCGUAAAGCGUGCGCAGGCGGCUGCUCAAGUCAGGGGUGAAAGCCCAGAGCUCAACUCUGGAAUUGCCUUUGAGACUGAGUGGCUUGAGUACGGGAGAGGUGAGUGGAAUUCCCAGUGUAGAGGUGAAAUUCGUAGGUAUCGGGAGGAACACCGGUGGCGAAGGCGGCGACCUGGGUAGAUACUGACGCUGAGGUGCGAAAGCGUGGGGAGCAAACAGG
rnacentral:rRNA from 1 species